rnacentral:rRNA from 1 species
CACACCCGUUCCCAUACCGAACACGGAAGUUAAG